GCCAGUGUGGUGUAGUGGUUUGCUCAUUGGACUAGGACACUGCAAGACCAGGGUUCAAAUCUCUGUUCAGCCA